rnacentral:rRNA from 1 species
UACGUAGGGAGCGAGCGUUAUCCGGAUUCAUUGGGCGUAAAGCGCGCGUAGGCGGUCGCAUAAGCGGAACCUCUAAUCUCGGGGCUCAACCCCUGAGCCGGGUUCCGAACUGUGCGACUCGAGUGUGGUAGGGGUAGAUGGAAUUCCCGGUGUAGCGGUGAAAUGCGCAGAUAUCGGGAAGAACACCGAUGGCGAAGGCAGUCUACUGGGCCAUCACUGACGCUGAGGUGCGAAAGCGUGGGGAGCAAAC